rnacentral:rRNA from 1 species
GAUGAACGCUGGCGGCGUGCUUAACACAUGCAAGUCGAACGAAGCACUUUAUUUGAUUUCCUUCGGGACUGAUUAUUUUGUGACUGAGUGGCGGACGGGUGAGUAACGCGUGGGUAACCUGCCUUGUACAGGGGGAUAACAGUUGGAAACGGCUGCUAAUACCGCAUAAGCGCACAGCAUCGCAUGAUGCAGUGUGAAAAACUCCGGUGGUAUAAGAUGGACCCGCGUUGGAUUAGCUAGUUGGUGAGGUAACGGCCCACCAAGGCGACGAUCCAUAGCCGACCUGAGAGGGUGACCGGCCACAUUGGGACUGAGACACGGCCCAAACUCCUACGGGAGGCAGCAGUGGGGAAUAUUGCACAAUGGGCGAAAGCCUGAUGCAGCGACGCCGCGUGAGCGAAGAAGUAUUUCGGUAUGUAAAGCUCUAUCAGCAGGGAAGAUAAUGACGGUACCUGACUAAGAAGCACCGGCUAAAUACGUGCCAGCAGCCGCGGUAAUACGUAUGGUGCAAGCGUUAUCCGGAUUUACUGGGUGUAAAGGGAGCGCAGGCGGUGCGGCAAGUCUGAUGUGAAAGCCCGGGGCUCAACCCCGGUACUGCAUUGGAAACUGUCGUACUAGAGUGUCGGAGGGGUAAGCGGAAUUCCUAGUGUAGCGGUGAAAUGCGUAGAUAUUAGGAGGAACACCAGUGGCGAAGGCGGCUUACUGGACGAUAACUGACGCUGAGGCUCGAAAGCGUGGGGAGCAAACAGG